rnacentral:rRNA from 1 species
UACCAGGCACCCCGAGUGGUCGGGACGAUUAUUUGGGCCUAAAGCAUCUGUAGCCGGGUUUUACAAGUCCUCCGUUAAAUCCAGCUAGCUUACAGAAUGGGCUGCGGAGGAUACUAUAAGACUAGGAGGCAGGAGAGGCAAGCGGUACUCAGUGGGUAGGGUAAAUCCGUUGAUCCAUUGAAGACCACCAGUGGCGAAGGCGGCUUGCCAGAAUGCGCUCGACGGUGAGGGAUGAAAGCUGGGGAGCAACCGGG